rnacentral:rRNA from 1 species
AACGAACGCUGGCGGCAGGCCUAACACAUGCGAGUCGAGCGAGACCUUCGGGUCUAGCGGCGGACGGGUGAGUAACGCGUGGGAACGUGCCCUUUUCUACGGAAUAGCCUCGGGAAACUGAGCGUAAUACCGUAUACGCCCUUUGGGGGAAAGAUUUAUCGGAGAAGGAUCGGCCCGCGUUGGAUUAGGUAGUUGGUGGGGUAAUGGCCUACCAAGCCUACGAUCCAUAGCUGGUUUGAGAGGAUGAUCAGCCACUGGGACUGAGACACGGCCCAGACUCCUACGGGAGGCAGCAGUGGGGAAUCUUAGACAAUGGGGGCAACCCUGAUCUAGCCAUGCCGCGUGAGUGAUGAAGGCAUUAGGGUUGUAAAGCUCUUUCAGCUGGGAAGAUAAUGACGGUACCAGCAGAAGAAGCCCCGGCUAACUCCGUG